rnacentral:rRNA from 1 species
AACGAACGCUGGCGGCGUGCCUAACACAUGCAAGUCGUGCGAGAAAGUUCCUUCGGGAGCGAGUAAAGCGGCGCACGGGUGAGUAACACGUAGGUAACCUGCCCCCCAGUCUGGAACAACUAGAGGAAACUCUAGCUAAUGCCGGAUGAGACCACGAUCCCUUCGGGGGUUGCGGCCAAAGAUGGCCUCUACUUGUAAGCUAUCGCUGAGGGAUGGGCCUGCGGGCCAUUAGCUUGUUGGUGAGGUAACGGCUCACCAAGGCUGUGAUGGCUAGCUGGUCUGAGAGGAUGACCAGCCACACUGGGACUGAGACACGGCCCAGACUCCUACGGGAGGCAGCAGUGGGAAUAUUGCGCAAUGGGCGAAAGCCUGACGCAGCGACGCCGCGUGGGUGAUGAAGGCCUGGUCGUAAGCCUCGUCGCAGGGAGAA